rnacentral:rRNA from 1 species
GACGUAGGUGGCUAGCGUUGUUCGGAAUUACUGGGCUUAAAGCGCACGUAGGCGGCCUGUCAAGCGCUUCGUGAAAUCCCUCGGCUUAACCGAGGAAUUGCCUGGCGAACUGGCAGGCUUGAGGCAGGUAGGGGCGUGUGGAACUCUUGGUGGAGCGGUGAAAUGCGUAGAUAUCAAGAGGAACGCCGGAGGCGAAAGCGACACGCUGGGCCUGUCCUGACGCUGAGGUGCGAAAGCCAGGGGAGCGAACGGGAUUAGAUACCCCCGUA